AUACGUAGGGGGCGAGCGUUGUCCGGAAUGAUUGGGCGUAAAGGGCGCGUAGGCGGCCCGGUAAGUCUGGAGUGAAAGUCCUGUUUUUAAGAUGGGAAUUGCUUUGGAUACUGUCGGGCUUGAGUGCAGGAGAGGUAAGUGGAAUUCCCAGUGUAGCGGUGAAAUGCGUAGAGAUUGGGAGGAACACCAGUGGCGAAGGCGACUUACUGGACUGUAACUGACGCUGAGGCGCGAAAGCGUGGGGAGCGAACAGGAUUAGAUACCCUGGUAGUCCACGCGGUAAACGAUGAAUGCUAGGUGUUGCGGGUAUCGACCCCUGCAGUGCCGGAGUAAACACAAUAAGCAUUCCGCCUGGGGAGUACGGCCGCAAGGCUUAAACUCAAAGGA
rnacentral:rRNA from 1 species